rnacentral:rRNA from 1 species
UACAGAGGGUGCGAGCGUUGUUCGGAAUCAUUGGGCGUAAAGAGCGUGUAGGCGGUCCGGUAAGUCCGCUGUGAAAGUCGGGGGCUCAACCCUCGAAUGCCGGUGGAUACUGUCGGGCUAGAGUGCGGAAGAGGCGAGUGGAAUUCCUGGUGUAGCGGUGAAAUGCGCAGAUAUCAGGAGGAACACCUAUUGCGAAGGCAGCUCGCUGGGACGUUACUGACGCUGAGACGCGAAAGCGUGGGGAGCAAACAGG